rnacentral:rRNA from 1 species
GUAGUCCACGCCCUAAACUAUGGAUGCUAGCUGUUAGGAGUAUCGACCCUCUUAGUAGCGAAGCUAACGCGUUAAGCAUCCCGCCUGAGUAGUACGAACGCAAGUUUAAAACUCAAAGGAAUUGACGGGGACCCGCACAAGCGGUGGAGCGUGUUGUUUAAUUCGAUGGUAAGCGAAGAACCUUACCCAGGCUUGACAUCCUGUGAAGCAUUGCGAAAGCAAAGUGUGCCUUUUGGAACACAGUGACAGGUGAUGCAUGGCCGUCGUCAGCUCGUGUCGUGAGAUGUUUGGUUAAGUCCAUCAACGAGCGCAACCCUUAUAGUCAGUUGUAUUUCUCUGGCUAGACUGCCCUGGUAACAGGGA